rnacentral:rRNA from 1 species
GAGUUUGAUCCUGGCUCAGAUUGAACGCUGGCGGCAUGCCUUACACAUGCAAGUCGAACGGUAACAGGUUAAGCUGACGAGUGGCGAACGGGUGAGUAAUACAUCGGAACGUGCCCGAUCGUGGGGGAUAACGCAGCGAAAGCUGUGCUAAUACCGCAUACGAUCUACGGAUGAAAGCAGGGGAUCGCAAGACCUUGCGCGGACGGAGCGGCCGAUGGCAGAUUAGGUAGUUGGUGAGGUAAAGGCUCACCAAGCCUUCGAUCUGUAGCUGGUCUGAGAGGACGACCAGCCACACUGGGACUGAGACACGGCCCAGACUCCUACGGGAGGCAGCAGUGGGGAAUUUUGGACAAUGGGCGCAAGCCUGAUCCAGCCAUGCCGCGUGCAGGAUGAAGGCCCUCGGGUUGUAAACUGCUUUUGUACGGAACGAAAAGGUUCUCUCUAAUACAGGGGGCUCAUGACGGUACCGUAAGAAUAAGCACCGGCUAACUACGUGCCAGCAGCCGCGGUAAUACG